GACGAACGCUGGCGGCGUGCUUAACACAUGCAAGUCGAACGGAAAGACCCUGCUUUUGUGGGGUGCUCGAGUGGCGAACGGGUGAGUAACACGUGAGUAACCUGCCCUUGACUUUGGGAUAACUUCAGGAAACUGGGGCUAAUACCGGAUAGGAGCUCCUGCUGCAUGGUGGGGGUUGGAAAGUUUCGGCGGUUGGGGAUGGACUCGCGGCUUAUCAGCUUGUUGGUGGGGUAGUGGCUUACCAAGGCUUUGACGGGUAGCCGGCCUGAGAGGGUGAUCGGCCACAUUGGGACUGAGAUACGGCCCAGACUCCUACGGGAGGCAGCAGUGGGGAAUAUUGCACAAUGGGCGGAAGCCUGAUGCAGCAACGCCGCGUGCGGGAUGACGGCCUUCGGGUUGUAAACCGCUUUCGCCUGUGACGAAGCGUGAGUGACGGUAAUGGGUAAAGAAGCACCGGCUAACUACGUG
rnacentral:rRNA from 1 species